GACGAACGCUGGCGGCGUGCUUAACACAUGCAAGUCGAGCGAUCGGCCUUGGAGGGGUAACCCUCCUUGGUACGGAGCGGCGAACGGGUGAGUAACACGUGGGCAACCUGCCCCAGACUCUGGAAUAACCCCGGAAAACCGGGGCUAAUGCCGGAUCCCCUCGUUGGAUCGCAUGGUCCGCCGAGGAAAGUCCCAACGGUCUGGGAGGGGCCCGCGGCCUAUCAGCUUGUUGGCGGGGUAACGGCCCACCAAGGCGACGACGGGUAGCUGGCGUGAGAGCGUGGCCAGCCACACUGGGACUGAGACACGGCCCAGACUCCUACGGGAGGCAGCAGUGGGGAAUCUUGCGCAAUGGGCGAAAGCCUGACGCAGCGACGCCGCGUGGGGGAUGAAGGCCUUCGGGUUGUAAACCCCUUUCGGCAGGGAAGAAGCGAAAGUGACGGUACCUGCAGAAGAAGCCCCGGCUAACUACGUGCCAGCCGCCGCCGUAAUAC
rnacentral:rRNA from 1 species